rnacentral:rRNA from 1 species
AGCGAACGCUGGCGGCAGGCUUAACACAUGCAAGUCGAACGGUCCUUCGGGAUAGUGGCGGACGGGUGAGUAACACGUGUGAACGUACCCUUAGGUUCGGAACAACACAGGGAAACUUGUGCUAAUACCGGAUAAGCCCUUCGGGGGAAAGAUUUAUCGCCUUUGGAGCGGCCCGUGUCUGAUUAGCUUGUUGGUGAGGUAAUGGCUCACCAAGGCUACGAUCAGUAGCUGGUCUGAAAGGAUGGCCAGCCACACUGGGACUGAGACACGGCCCAGACUCCUACGGGAGGCAGAAGUGAGGAAUCUGGCGCAAUGGGCGAGAGCCUGACGCAGCCAUGCCGCGUGGAUGAUGAAGGUCUUAGGAUUGUAAAAUCCUUUCACCGGGGACGAUAAUGACGGUACCCGGAGAAGAAGCCCCGGCUAACUUCGUGCCAGCAGCCGCCGUAA